rnacentral:lncRNA from 1 species
GCCUCUUAUUUUUAAUCAUCUCAACUUCCCCAGUUUGAUCACACUUCACAGCAGCGCUAAGUUAAGGCCCUUCUGUGUCUGUGUGUUUAGUACGCAGGAUGUCCUCUGGUGUGGCUUCUUUUGAUCCACCAGGCUUUCUCCCUUUGCAUGCUUCUGCUUCGGACCCUCUCUGCUGUUUUGAGAAGCAGAUGGGCUUUGCCAGUUGACUCACAUCAGACCUUUGCGUUUUCCCCAUGAGCAAAGCUAUGCUCCAGUGAUUUUCCUCUCUAGGCCAGGAUAAUAGACUAGCGUCUCCUCUCCGUACUUGCAAAUGAUGUGUCAGACAGCUGCUUGAGCAGAAUGAUACACAGAGAGCUAAUUAUUACAUUACGACACACAAGACACAGGGUCCACUGAAGUUAGAUCUGCCUGAUGGUGACACUUUUUUCAAAUUAAGAGGGUUAGCUGCUUUGUCCACGCUGCUUUUUCAUUCACCUGAUCAUGUUUGGACAAGGUUGGGGAAAUUGGAUUUCUGGGUUGCUUGGGUUUUGGCCUGCAGCCAGCAGUUACUUCAGCAGCCAUUUGAUGGACAUCUGCUCUGCCGGGUUCAGGAGGCAAAGUUAAUGGCAGGCAGUUUUCCUAUGGACUCAACAGGAGACGAGACUUGUGAAUGGGUGCCUGAAGAAAUAUACUUGAUUUAAAAAUGUAGAUGUGAAUGGAUAAGGUUUUAUGAGAUGUAAAAGACUUUAAUUCUCCCCAGGGAAGACUUCCUGGUCUUCCCCAAGUCAGAGAUGACAGGAAGACGUUGUGGGGGCUGGUGGCCUGUGUGAAAGUCAGCUGGAGUCAUCUACAUGGCCAAAGAAAGACAAGUUGUCAGGAAAGGAGGUGCCCAAGCAAAGAUGGCUAAAUCCUCGGUCAGCUGAGAUCCUCUUCUCCAGGCCAUAAGUGACCAAUCUGUUAAGAACAGAAAUACAGGAAGAGUCACCUAUAGUAAACAGUCAUAUUUUUAUUUCACUAAGAUCAAGUAUUUAGUGACUGGCUUCAGAGUAUCCGGAUCCUCCUUUGGGAAAAGGGCAAAGUGCCAACGGGGAAGAGAAGCAGGUGGGGACGGCAGGGUCGGUGAGCUUGACCCCCAGGUCAGCAUCGCACACAACGCCCCCACAGCCGGUGGAGAGCCGCGGCCGGGUCGGUCCCGCCAGCCCGAGCUCCGGGGAAGCCGCCUCCACCUUCCUCCUGGGUGGGCAGGGCGGCGGCCCUGCUGUCCGACACCGCCCGGCCAGGGCCCCUCACAGCCGGGAGCCUGCGCGGCCCACCCCAGCCCGGCUGCAGUGCUGGGCAGCCGCUGGCCCCGUCCCUGUGACAGCCGCUGUCCGCGGGCUCCAGCGGCCCUGGCCCGGGCUUGGCCCUUCCGUGCGCUGUGGCCACCCGGCCGAGCUGCCCAUCGAGGAGCCGCAUGGCGGGGGCGCCUCUGGCGGGAGGCGCUGCGGGGCCGCGUCCGGCUCUGCUCCGGUCCAGGCCGCACAGACGCCGAUGACCACGACGACCAAGACCACGGGGCUCCGUGUGCGGCGGCCUCACGCGCAGUCGCGAUUCCGCUCCGUCCUUCCACACAAGUCGCACAGGGCACACGCAAGUCCGCGCCGAGAGAAGACCGAGGCGCGCAUGCGCCUGGCUCUGCGUUCCCGCGCGAGGCAGCAUCCGGGCACUGUGCGCGUGCGCAGAUGAGACGGCGCGGACCGAGAGCCGCCCUGAGGGCCUGCGUCACCCGUGAGAUGAGGCUUGGAAGAAUGGCGUGA